UUUUUUCUCUUUUCUUUAUUUGGUUUGAGACAGUUGUUUGUUAUGUGUUCCUGGGUAGUCUGGUACUUAUGUGUAGCCAAGCUAGCUUCAAACUCAUGGC
rnacentral:miRNA from 14 species